rnacentral:rRNA from 1 species
AUUGAACGCUGGCGGCAGGCCUAACACAUGCAAGUCGAACGAGUGGCGGACGGGUGAGUAAUGUCUGGGAAACUGCCUGAUGGAGGGGGAUAACUACUGGAAACGGUAGCUAAUACCGCAUACCAUCGGAUGUGCCCAGAUGGGAUUAGCUAGUAGGUGGGGUAACGGCUCACCUAGGCGACGAUCCCUAGCUGGUCUGAGAGGAUGACCAGCCAAAAUGGAACGGAGACAAGGGCCAGACUCCUACGGGAGGCAGCAGUGGGGAAUAUUGGAACAUGGGCGCAAGCCUGAUGCAGCCAAGGCGGGGGUAAGAAGAAGGCCUUCGGGUUGUAAAGUACUUUCAGCGGGGAGGCGUUACCCGCAGAAGAAGCACCGGCUAACUCCGUGCCAGCAGCCGCGGUAAUUC